rnacentral:rRNA from 1 species
UCGGGAAUUUUGGGCAAUGGGCGCAAGCCUGACCCAGCGACGCCGCGUGGAGGACGAAGCCCUUCGGGGUGUAAACUCCUUUUAGUGGGGACGAACGCAGACGGUACCCACAGAAAAAGCCCCGGCUAACUACGUGCCAGCAGCCGCGGUAAUACGUAGGGGGCGAGCGUUGCCCGAAUUUACUGGGCGUAAAGCGCACGUAGGCGGCUCCGUAAGUCUGGUGUGAAAUCUCACGGCUCAACCGGGAGGCUGCACCAGAUACUGCGGAGCUCGAGGGCGGGAGAGGAGAUUGGAAUUCCCGGUGUAGCGGUGAAAUGCAUUGAUAUCGGGAGGAACACCAGUGGCGAAGGCGGAUCUCUGGCCCGCUUCUGACGCUGAGGUGCGAAAGCUGGGGGAGCGAAAGGG